CUGGACACUCAAUAACAGACUUAAAUGUGGCAAUUCUUCAACAACAAAAAACUUCAACAACAGACUCCAAUGAGAAACUGCAGAACUGGAAUUAAUUUGCAAAGUGAACACCAUCAAAUUAUACCUAAAUAAAGACUGCGAGUGGACGGGACAUUACAAUUUUUUUU